rnacentral:rRNA from 1 species
ACGGGGGGAGCAAGCGUUGUUCGGAUUUACUGGGCGUAAAGGGCGCGUAGGCGGUCAGCACAAGUCAGUUGUGAAAUCUCCGAGCUUAACUCGGAAAGGUCAACUGAUACUGUGCGACUAGAGUGCAGAAGGGGCAACUGGAAUUCUCGGUGUAGCGGUGAAAUGCGUAGAUAUCGAGAGGAACACCUGCGGCGAAGGCGGCAUCCUGGACCAAUAUUGACGCUGAGGAGCGAAAGCUAGGGGAGCAAACGGGA